CCGUUUAUGACGUGGGGUGAGAUCGACGGAACGCCGCUGAGGCUGGACCCCGACGAGACGCCGGGCGGUAGCGAGAGAGCGCAUUUCAAGAUGCCACCACCUCCUGCUCGCGACAUCAAGGCGCACUUGCUUUCGAGGGAUGCCGCUCGGAAAAUAAAGGAGCGGUCUAAGCCCUUCCAUAGGCCGCCCCUACCCUCCCCUGCGAGGGGUGUCAGCGCGAGCCCUAGAACCCUUUCGCCAGCAGCGCAAAAAUUCGUGAGGAACGCCAUCUCCAAGUCGUCAAAGUCCUCCAGCGCCAUUGACGAAUCUCUCCGUGCAAGCUACAGAGGCUCGACCCCGUCUGCGAGCACUCCCAAGUCAAGGUUUUCAAGAGAUCCUGGCCUCACAUCGCGUUCUCCAUCCACAAGGCAGGGUUCCACCCCUCCCUGGUGAGUGUUAGUAAACCACUUAAUGUUAUUUCAUAAAAUGGGUAGGUGGCCCAUCCUGUACUGUAACAAAUUGUAUAAUGAUGGAAGACAUGAAAUGAUGAAGUGAUGCUAAUUUACUCUUAUAUUAUCUGAGUCACCCUUACCAAAAUCAAUGUCAUGAGCAUAUCUUUUCAUACUAAAUUGCUAAGUUCCAACUUGAAUUUUAAAUUUCAAAGUCAUGCAUCUGGGCAGACCAUUUGUCGUCUUUGUAACAGUGGGUUUGGCAAAAACUUCCAUGUCAUUGUAUUGUACUCCAAGGCAGAUUGUGCAUCUGGUCUUGCAAAAAAAAAAAUCUGAUAAUAGAGUUUGAAAGAUGUGAGAUAAGGAAUGAGAUAAGGGAGCUGCUAGAGAUAGCCUAAUAGUUUGGGGUUUAUUUCUUAUGUUUGUACUCUUUUUCGCAUAGAAGUAUAUAACAAAAUGAGUACGAUUGUAAUAGUUUGCCUCAUUGGGGGGAAACAUAUAUAAACAGACACCUCACCUUCUCCUAGUGAUAGAGCCCUAGGGCUUUGGGGGAGAGGACUUUUGUCUAUUUCCAGUCUUGCUUGCCUUCUCUAAUCGUUGUCUGUUUGAGAGUGUUUACCAACACUGGUUGGGUCGGGGGAGGGGGGGGGGGGGGUGAUUCUAGGAGAUGACAGUAUUGUGGAGGACGAUGUGGUGCUUCUGAUUUCAUCGCGCUAGAUGCUGGUGUGUGCCACGGUUGGGAGCCAAUCUGAAACCUCAGGCUGAUUUCUGGGCAGUUGUGUGCUCGCCUUUCUGUGGAAGUUUUUGUUGUUGUAUCGACCAGAUUGAGAUCAGGCUUCUGUCAGAUCCGGCAGUUCAUUGGUUUUAUCACUUGGAUUUGGUGUUUACCAACACUGGUUGGGAGAAUAAAAGAAAAGAAAAGGGAGGGGACAGUAGUGUGGGAGGACGUUGUGGUGCUUCUGAUUUCUGGGCAGUUUUUUUUUAUUGGACCAGAUUGAGAGUUGAGUUGUAGAUCAUGACAUCAGAUGAGCCUUCUGACAGACCUGGCAGUUCAUUGGUUUUAUCACUUGCAUGCGGUGGUUUCAAGUUCAGUUGCGUCUUCUGGCCUUAGAUCGUGGAGUCAUAUUCAAAAUGAAGUGUCCUUAUGUUGUUAGCUGGAUCUGCAGAGACAGUCAGCAGAGGAAGAUAUUUAGUUGUUUGCAUAUCUCAGUCUCCAUUUUUUUUGUUGGUCCAUACUCUAAAAUUUUUGAACUUUGUAGUUCCGAUGUUUUUGAACUUCCAUCCUCAAUCCUUGAUUCUUCGUUCAACAUAUUAUAUUUUUGUGACAUGCUUCUGUGAUCCUGGAAUGAUGUGGCAUCCUGCAUUUGUGGGGGUUAAUUUCGAAAUACUAGUUUCGGAUUAAAAUAAGUUAUUCAGACAGCUACAAUCUGCAAUCUAUAUAAACAAAACACAGUAGAAGCUGUUUCGGAAUAAAGCCAAACGAACGGCUUGACCAACAUUACAUACUCUGAUGAAUAUGUGGGAUAGAAGUGGUAUGCUCUCAUUAUAUUCCCAAAACAAAGACAAGACAGAAAUCUUUACCAUGGUCCUAUACAUAGGACCUGUCCAACAGCAAGACCUGUCCAACAGCAAAAUAACAGGCACGGUGAGUUGCUGCUACCUAAUUCAGAUUUACACAGGUUUUUUGUAUAAAAAUACAAUUCGAUGGCAGAAAAUGGAGCUUUUCUAUGAUAAAAACUUUUGGAAUUAAUUAAUCUGAUAUAGAGGUGUCCACCCAAAACAUUCUUAGUUAUAGAGAGAGUUCCACCGCACAUCCCAGACGAUGCAAGGAACCCAGUUAUAGAGACUCGGCACCGGCAGCUUAUAGGAAUUAGGGUAGCCUCUGUUAGUUUUGGACAAGGUUUAAGUUAUUAGUUAUCGUUUUAGAUAAAGUUUAAGUCAAAUUUAUAAAAUUUUGAGUAUAAAUUACUAAUUUGUUAUGUAGUUUUAAAACAUAAUGUUUAUAUGUACAGAUUUGUUUUAACAAUUAUUUUUAUAAAAGUAUAAAUGUAUUAAGAGUUUAUUUAUAUUUUAAUAUAAAAAAUUGGUUAAUUUUAUAUUUUGGAAACAGUGUCGCUGUACUAAACGAUAACUAAUAGUACAUCGGAGGGCUAGUGUUCAUCAACUGUGCAUGAAAACUGAGUAUACCACCAUGGACAUGACUGCUCAAUGGUGAAAGUUAAGAACAUUGUUAUCGGCACCCAAAUGAUUCAUCAUCCUGAAAGUUAAGAACAUUCUUUUAUGAUGCACAGUAUCUUGCCAUCUGGUGAUACGUACGAUACGAUAGGUAGGAAGCCAAACAAAAACAAACUCUUAUUCCGUCGGCCGACUCCAGCGAUGUCAGGCGAGGACGAGAACGACGUCCCUCCUCCCUGGUGAGUGUUAGUAAACCUCUUGGAACUAGUUUGGUAUAUUAAUCUCAAUCUACAUGUAUUGAGGUAAAUUAUGGUGUAAAUUAAACUAAUUUACAUUCUAAUCUAUCUCAAUACAUGUGAAUUGUAAGUACUCAAACGAAGCCUUAAUGUUAUUUCAUAAAAUAGUGUCACACCCGGUUUUAAAAGACAAAGCCGGGUGCAUCUCAUACAUGCGUCAAAGAAGACAACAUAUAUAAUAACAUAGUGUAUAGAGAUAAAUGUCACAAUAUAAUCAGAGUAUUUAUUACAUAACGAAAGUCUUACAAAAUAAAAAGAUAAAUAUAACAGGAUCUAAAAUCCAUUCUUGACGCCAGAAAGUCAACUAGGAGACGCUUGUCCUGUAACAAAUUGUAUAAAAUGAUGGAAGACAAGAAAUGAUGAAGUGAUGCUUAUUUACUUUUCUACUAUCUGAGCCACGCUUACCAAAAUCAAUGUUAUGAGUAUAUCCAAUUAUUUUUUUCAUAAACGAAUGUGGUGUACUUAAAAUGAUUACCAAUGUAGAUCACGAUAUGUAAUUAUUUUAUGUUCUCCAUAACUCAAUUUUGACAUGCACUUCCAUUUUUUUUGUGUACAAAACCGGUUAAAUAUAUGAUACAAAGUUGCGGCAAAUUUUGUUUGCUACAUAUGAAAAUGAGUAAUUUUUCCAUUACAAAAAUAUUUCGAACAUGUUUUUAUCAUGACAAAUCAAAUUUAAAUUUUGUUCCUACACGAAAUGAUGAAUAAACAAAUUAGUUUAUCAAAUCUAUUGGCGCGAUAGAUAUAGAGAAUCAAAUUUAGAGGACGCUGCUCGAGAUGAAGAAUAUAUAGAGAAUAAGAUCUUUUAAAGCAUGCCGUAAAACACAUUCCACUCAUUUUUUUCCUAUCUAAUUUUUUAGGGGAUAAAAUUUAGAAAACGCGGCUGCAUAGAAUCUCACCGCCACCAUUCCACUCAUUUUUCCCUAUCUAAUUUUUUCUAUUUCUGGCACGCGUCCAAUAACUCAUAUUUAUGUAAAAUAUUAUUGUCGAAUGGUUCUAGGACAUUAUUAUUGGUAUCUUCAAGAUAUGUGAAGGCUUCCUUCCGCAUUCUCCACCUCCUUAUCUCUAUCGGAUUCUUCCUUUUUUUACGCCAAACGAUGAUAAAUACAUUGCAUUGAUGUUAGAAUAUUGUUGUGAUUUCUGCUCUCUUUUUUUGCCACACGGAGGUCUCUGAAGUGCAUUACUUGAAUGUUGGUUCUCAUCAACAGUGGCUACAUAUGAAAAUGAGUAAUUUUCCAUCACAACAUAUUUUGAACAUGUUUUUAUCGUGAAAAAUCAAAUUUAAAUUUUGUUUCUACACGAAAUGAUGAAUAAAUAAAUUAGUUUAUCAAAUCUAUUAGCACGGUAGAUAUAUAGAAUCAAAUUUAGAGGACGCUACCGGAGAUGAAGAAUAUAUAGAGAAUAAGAUCUUUUAGAACGUGUCGUAAAAGAUGGAGAGUAUUAUUUUAUUAGGGGAUAAAAUUUUGGGAACGCGGCUCGAGAGAGCCUCACCACCACCAUUCCAUUCAUUUUUCCCUAUCUUAUUUUUUUUCAGUUUCUGGCACGCGUCCAAUAACUUAGAUUUAUGUAAAAUAUUAUCGCCGAAUGGUUCUAGAACUUUAUUAUUAGUAUCUUCAUGAUAUGUGAAGGCUUCCUUCCGCAUUUUCCACCUCCUUGCCUCUUUCGGAUUCUUUAUUUCUUUUUUUACUCCAAACGAUGAUAAAUACAUUGUAUUGAUGUUAGAAUAUUGUUAUGAUUUCUGCUCUUUUUUUUUUGCCACGGAGGUCUCUCAAGUGAAUUACUUGAAUGUUGAUUCUCAUCAAUAGUGGCAACAAAGGUGAAGCCGAUGUCAGACUUGACCUCUGUUAGCAACUACAAGGAAGAUGUGUCGGCAGAGGAGCUAACAUUUGGUAUCAGAGGAAUACAACUUCCCCUUCCCUAAGUCUCUCUCCCUCCUUCCUCUACCUCUUCUCUAGCCGCUUAUGGAUCAGAGCUAACAUUUGGUAUCAGAGGAGGUUCCACCCUAGACGCUUCAUCUCAGUACCUGACCGGCGCCCGCGUUCCACUGUCGUCGCGGGCAUGGACGUGAUUAUGCAGCGACUGCUCGACGAAAUGUCGCUGAUGGAGACUCGAAUCACCGAGGCGAUGACGGGUCGCUACAGGCACUGCAACAGCAUGCCAAGGAUUCUGAUGAGAAGACUGAGGCACGUAUGAUCUCCCUCGAGAUGGAUCUAGGGGAAAUUGAAGCAUGGUGUCCUGGAGUCGAGAGGCGACUCGACAACAUGUCUCUGGAAAUGUCACGGACAACCAAGUUCAUGGAGUGUGAGUCCAUGGUGCAAGACUUCACCAAGCCUGGUCUCAUCACCAACAUCAAAUCAACGUACGAGCGCCCACCUGCUCGGAAUUCCACCGUAGACGGGCCAAACGACCAUCGGUUCAAUCAUCGUUACAGGGAGCAUGGGUUUGGUCAAAAUUUUCCUCAGCCUCACGACCCAGUCAAGGGUAUGUUCCAUGAGCUAGCCCAUGUUCGCUUCGAUGAUACGUCUUAUUAGUGGCGUUUUAUUGAAUGGGAUGGGGGCGUAAGGAGUGUCGUUCCAGCCAAGGGAAUUUACCGCGUGUCAAUUUCCCACAGUUCGAUGGAGAUAAUCCUCAAUUGUGGAAAACACGCUACGAAAACUACUUUGAUAUGUAUGAUGUUGGCCUAGCUAAAUGGAUUCACGUUGCUUAUAUGCAUUUCGAAGGAAGGGCGGUGUGUUGGCUGCAAUCAAUCAAGCACCGCGUUCGGUACUGGUCCUGGCAUGAAUUUUGCACUCAAAUACACGAUUGUUUCGGUCGUGAGCAACAUGGGUCGCUAAUUCGAACCAGUUCCGUGUUCGAGUAUGUCGAACGAUUUUCCAAUUUAGUCGAUCAUCUAUCGGCAUAUGAAUCCAAUGCGGACCCCCUAUACUAUACCAUGCGCUUUGUUGACGGGUUACGGGAGGACAUCAAAUCUGUAAUUAUGGUGCAAAGACCUACUUUGGAUACUGCUUGUUCCUUGGCAUUGGUGCAGGAGGAGGAGUUGAUGUCCGGUCAAGGAUACAAUGGGGACGAUGCUCUGAACCCUUCAAAUGGGAUCAAAUAGUGACAACGUCUGCCUCUGGCUCUAUAGAUGAAAAGCUAUCUUCUCUGCGUCAUUAUCGGAUGGCAAGGGUAUUGUGUGAUAAAUGUGCUAACAAGUGGACUCCAGGGCAUAUGUGUGCAACAACAGCUCAACUUUAUGCUAUGGAGGAGGUGUGGAGUCUACUACCUUUCGAGAUGAAUGAACAACCUGAAUCAUGGACAACUGACAACACUUUUGAACUAGUGCUUAUGUCCAUGUCCCAGACAACAUGGGGAGGAUCUGACAGUGGCUAUACUUUAAAGUUUCAGGGCCUCAUCCAAAAUCAACAUGUGCUCAUUUUGUUCGACAGUGGAAGUUCCCAUACUUUUGUCAAUGAGCAACUUUGUCACAAAUUACAAAGUACCAAAGUGGUGCCAGUCUUCUUAAAUGUCAGGGUGGCUAAUGGUGAUGUUGUACACUAUCAAGAUAAGUGGUUAAGGGUACCAUGACAAAUCCAUGAUUGUUUUUUCUCUCUCGGAUAUUUUGUUCAUCCUAUUACAUUGUUAUGACAUGGUGGUCGACAUGGAUUGGUUGCAAACUUUUAGGCGAUGAGAGUGGAUUGGGUUCAAAAAUGGUUGACAAUACCUUAUCGUGGAACUAACGUGACCUUGUAUGGUCAGAACAAGCAAGUCCUUGAAUGAACAGUGGUGGAGUUAAUUAUGGUCAGUGAAGACAAGUCUGCUCCUUCCAGGCCAUUGAGUAGUGGGCGACUCCAACCUCGGUUAAAACUAUGUAGCGUUUUGGGGCUGGUUGGGUUCUACCAUGCGUCAUUUUGGUACAAUAAGUAGACCUUUGUUCAAUUUUCUCAAGAAGAAUGUGCUAUUUAUAUGAAUGACAGACCAUCAACAUGCCUUUGAACUACUUAAAAAGGCAUUGAUCACAACCCUAGUUUUGGUCCUACCGAUUUCACACAACAUCUACCUUUCGCAAUCUUGAAUGCAGAAGUUGUUACCUUCCGCAACCUUGAAUGCAGAAGAUUCUUCAUAAAAUCACUUCAUAUAUUGUUAGUAUGAUAAAUCAUUAAAGGAUUUUUGUAUUAUAAAUAACAUAAGUACUUCAUACUUCAGUUUGACGUCUUACCCCCAAAAAGGUAUAUAGUGAGAAAAAUCAAUAUAACAAUAGCUCCAACAAGACUAACCUUAAGCAAUAGACAAAAAAUAAUCAGUAGAUUACCAUAGAGUAAUAUUUCAACAAAAAAACUUGUUCUUCCCUAACAAUAGCAACAACAACCGACACAUAAAGAAACAACUUUGGAAACCGAAUGUCCUAGAUUACUCGGUCACUUAAUGUUUUUGUAUCAACCAGUUAGUUUACACCAUACGGUCUACCAUUGGACUCUGUUGUAAUUCUCGAGUAACACCUAUUUGUUACUCAAAUCCGUUAGUCUGAUUUGGUUCUAAUGAUUUGUUAGGUCCAGGUUCAUAGCUAAUGAACUGCCUCUUAGAGAGAGCGCCAACGACGCGCUUUCUAGUAUAUUUCGAAUCUGCGUCAACGAGUCGUCAUAUAACGGCACUAGCCUCAGCCCAAACUAACAAAUCAUUCGUUAAAGUAUUAGCAUCAAUUUUAAUUUUUCGCCUAUCACAUAUACGACGUCGUGCAAAAAUCUUAUCCAUUGCUGCUUCCCACUCAGUAUAUUCAUUUGUAGUAUUUGCAUCAAAAGGGAUGAAAGAUGGAUAUAUAGAACUUGAGGGAGACAAAUCAGCAUCAAUGGUGUGGCUCUCAAAAGAUUUAGUCAAUACACGCAUCAUCUCCUUCAAAUCCAGAUGGAGGACACACUCGCUAUCAGUAGGCUUAGUGUCCUUAUCCUUGUCCGCUUAGGUCUUUGGUCCUGUCAUUGUUAGUACAUAAUAGAAACAAAAGGGAACAAAUAAACUAUAAACCCUAUAACUACUCUCAAGGGUGGUGGUGGAACACAAAUUAUGUAAGCAUCUUACCUCGCUCUUACAAGUUUCUUACCAGCACUGCAGGUGGCAAAUGAUGGUCGGUGUGAUUGUCCAAAAAGCGUGAGUGUGAUUGCAAAUGAGUACAUGUUAUGCUCGAAAAAAGGUAGAGCUUUGGAAAGACUCACUAAAUAUGUAUAUGUGGCACAUAAUUCAGUAACAGAUAGCAGUGCUAAAUAAGUGUUCUAAGUAUUCAUCAUAGCUGCUGGCAAAUGAUGGUCGAUGCGAUAGUAUACUUGUUAAGACAAAUCGAUACAUAUAAACAUUAUAUUUUAAAACUACAUAAUAAAAUAGUUAUUUGUAGUCAAUUUUUUUUAAGCUUGACUUAAAUCUUGUUCAAAAUGACAACUAAUAGGACGUCUGAGGAAGUUUCAUUAAUAGACUUUGUUGUAAUUCUCGACUAACACCUAAGUAUUUGUUAACUUAAAUCCAUUAAACUAGAUCCAUAACUAACUAACCGCCUAAGAGAAAGCCAACGGCUUUUCCGAAUCCGUGUCGAGCCAUUAUAUAACAUCCCCGCCCCAGCCCCCAUCCCCCGACACCUGAGUACCUGACACACAGCGAAACGCCGAAACCGCGUCAAGUUCCCCUUCUUCGAUCCCCCAAUCGCCGUAACCCUAGACUCGCCACCGCCGCCGCGAUGCUCCGCUCGCCGGGCAAUUCGCCCCGCCUCCUCUCACCGUCGCCCACACCCGCGCCCUCCACCCCUCGCCCGGCCUCCCCGCCCCCCUCCAACGCCCCCUCCUCGAAGCGCCGCCGGUCGGAGGUGCUCGACGAGGACACCUACGUCGCCGCCAUCGAGCGCAUCAUCGAGCGCGACUACUUUCCCGACCUGCCCCGCCUCCGGGACCGCCUCGACUGGCUGCAGGCCGUGCGGUCCCACGACCCGCUCAUCCUACGGGACGCGCAGCUCAAGAUCCUAGACCGCCGCCGCCGCGCCCAGCGCCACGCGGCGGGGCCCGUCCCCACGCCGACGCCGGCCACCUCCACCGCGCUCCGCUCCCCGUCCUUUCUCACCACCCCCGCCGGAUCCGUCGCCGGCGGCGUGAGAGGUCCCGACGCCGACCACGACGACGACGUCGCGGCCGCGGUCUCCCUCGACGGCUUCUUCCGCCGCUUCACCAGCGAGGACAACGACUCCUUCUCGCGCAUCCUAGACAAGGUGAACCAGCGCCGCCGCGAGCGCUACGCGCACCUGCUGGAGCCGCCGCCGCCUGCCGAGGCGGGGAGCAAACCGUCAGAGGACGCCAAGCGCAACAGGAUCACGGACGGGUACGGUACAUCGGGGCAGCCACCGAGCACGCUCGAGGUCGCCAAGUUCACGGCAAAGAACCAGCUCAUGUACUACCCGGCUGACCAGGGGGAAGCGCCCCUCACGGAGGAGGAGCGCGCAGAGCGGCUCAGGGGGAUGACCAAGGAGAUAAACAAGUCGAACACCAGGCUACAUGGCAGAGCCACGGCUGAUGACGCGAGGCCCAAGGAGGAGGAGGGGGCCGCCAUACUGUACGCGCUGGUUGCAGGCUCUACUCCGGGAGGGAUGGCCUACCACGACCCUGACAAGUUGAAGAAGUACGAUCUGGAGGACCUGAGGAAGACCCCGAACCCUUUCUACCUCGAGUCGGACAAGAAGGCCGGCAACGGGUACAGUUUUGUGAGGACGCCGUCGCCGGCACCCGGCGUGGACGAGUCGCCGUUCAUGACCUGGGGUGAGAUCGAUGGAACACCGCUGAGGCUGGACUCCGAUGAGACGCCGGGCGGUAGCGAGAGAGCGCAUUUCAAGAUGCCGCCGCCUCCUGCUCGCGAUGUCAAGGCGCACCUGCUUUCGAGGGACGCCGCUCGGAAAAUAAAGGAGCGGUCUAAUACCUUCCAUAGGCCGCCCCUCCCCUCCCCUGCGAGGGGUGUCAGCGCAAGCCCUAGAACCCUCUCGCGGGCCGCGCAAAAAUUCGUGAGGAACGCC
rnacentral:lncRNA from 1 species